ensembl:lncRNA
GUGGUGAGGUUUUAGUUUAGAAGACAGCCCUGGCACCUCCCCUCUGAUAUCUCUAAAUGGCCAAGAACUGGAGCAGCGCUAAUUAAAGUUGGGAAAGUAGAACAUGAGGUUUACUCAUUGUCACUCUUGCACCAGAAUGGAAAAUGUACCCAAAACAUACGAAACUAUACCAAAUUAUUGACAUGGUACAGUUUGCCUGAAGUUGGGUGCAUGCAAAUGCCUUACUAACCUGAAAGUGUCCAGUAUCAACAAACGUCCACUCUGCAUUCUGUUCUAGUUUUAAAACUUCUCAUUAACUAACAAUCCAUCUUUAUUUCUGUAUUUCAUCAGAUUGAAAAUGUCAGCUGUAAGACAUAGCAUGAUUUUUGUUAUACGGGAAGAAAGAGGAAAUACUGCCGAUUGUAUUAUGACAUGCCACUUUAACAGUGGUCUUCCAUGACACUGCAUGAAUCUGUCACACUAGCAUCUCAUUGCUUUCAAGAUUCCUUCAUCUCUUCCAUGGGUUUUGGUACCUUCUUCCUGCUGGUACCUUCAGUAGCAUUGCUUAUGGUAUGAUAGGCCAUCGGCUUGUAUGUCUGUCUCACUUACAAACUGUAACACAGAUUCCUCUUUUGUGUUUUUCUUCAGUCUGGUAAAGCAUUUGGAUUUUGCUUUGCAAGGUAAUGUGGAAAUGCCAAACAAAGACAAAUGUUUCCUCUAGUAAUAUAACAUUCAGGCCCCACUGCUCUGUUUGUUUGCCUUGGUGCAUACACAGUAACAUCUUUAAGUGCCAAAUCAUAGUGUAAUCUUUUUGAAAACCAUUCAAAUGGCAGUUUAACAGAACACGUGCAGUGCUAAGGAUGCCCCUAACUUAGUGGGAGUGAUGACAAAAUGAAUAGCCAUGACCAAGGUUAUGCAAAUGCAGGGAAAUGACAAUUGUGCUGUGACUGCUGCCAAGUUGUCAGCCGUUUUAAGACACCAUCAGUAUUAAGACACAUCGUGAUUUCAGAGAUAUUAAAGUGUGAGGAAAAAAUGAACCUUAUCAAUGAAAUAUGUUAAUCUGUGCCCACAGAUUUUGUGAACUCUAACCUGCCUACCACCUUGCGUGUAUUCAUUCAUUCAUAGAGUCAUUCAUUUUAUUAAACUCGAAGCUCCAAGAGGGCAAGGACUUCUUCUGUCUUGUUCUCUGCUGUAUGCCAACCACUUAGGGUAGUCCUGACACGUAGUUAAGCUGCUCAAUAAAUAUCCAUAGAACGAGUGAAUGAAUAUCCCCUUUGGAAGACAUGGAGACACGUCAGGCAGCUCACUACUCUCCUGCUGGUUAGGAAACAUAUUCUUAAAAUGAAGACAUUGACAGAAAUGCCAAACAUAGAGAAAGAAUACAGGCCAACAUUAAGUCCUUUUUUUCUAUUUACAAAGCCCAAUACAAAAUAUUUCAUGCCGUUGCAGAACUAGUUUCUGGUAGAAGAAAUUCCCGUGUAGCUUUUAUUGAUCUUUGACCACUGAAGGAAUUUAUAACAACUUACAUCUUGGUUCUUUUGUAUGAUCCAAAAUCAUUAAUUGCUUGAAUUUUAUGCUUCGUUCAUUUUCAUGUACUUGUCCUGUUAUAGAUGUAACACGUACCAGGUGACAGGUAAAUGCCUUUUCCUUCAGUAGGCUCCUCUGAAACAGAAACUCAGUGCUGGUGACCUUGUCUGGAUGUACAUCCCCAAGACAAUAUAUGUCUACUUAAAGGCCGUGCCUUACAGUCUGCUUUUUAACCCCCCAAAGAGGCCGUCUUUAUAUUUUGACAUUUGGC